rnacentral:sRNA from 1 species
GUUUGCAUCAUCUUGACCCCUGUGCAAUUAGAACAAGUGGUUUAUUGCCGCCCCCAGGCCUGGCCAGGACCUGGGGUAGGGGGAGGCAUGCUGGCAUAGAGCCGGUGAUAGCAGACCUUGGAUGCCAGCGGCCUCCUACCUCCUUCCCUACUGCUGUUUGUCUUCAGGCAAGUUACUUAACCAUUCAGGGCCCCAGUGUCCUCAUUUGCAAAGUGCUGCUGGUAAUAACAUGUCUGGCAUACAGGAAGCACUCAAGAAAUGCUGGCUCUGACUGUAAUCGCCCUGGCUAUUUUCUGCUUGCUGUUGCCUGACACCUGGGGGCUUUCUCUGUGGUCCGACGCUGUGUCAAGCUCUGCACCGGCCAUGAGUAUGCAGCCAAGAUCAUCAACACCAAGAAGCUGUCAGCCAGAGAUCACCAGAAGCUGGAGAGAGAGGCUCGGAUCUGCCGCCUUCUGAAGCAUUCCAACAUCGUGCGUCUCCACGACAGCAUCUCCGAGGAGGGCUUCCACUACCUGGUCUUCGAUCUGGUCACUGGUGGGGAGCUCUUUGAAGACAUUGUGGCGAGAGAGUACUACAGCGAGGCUGAUGCCAGUCACUGUAUCCAGCAGAUCCUGGAGGCCGUUCUCCAUUGUCACCAAAUGGGGGUCGUCCACAGAGACCUCAAGCCGGAGAACCUGCUCCUGGCCAGCAAGUGCAAAGGGGCUGCAGUGAAGCUGGCAGACUUCGGCCUAGCUAUCGAGGUUCAGGGGGACCAGCAGGCAUGGUUUGGUUUCGCUGGCACACCAGGCUACCUGUCCCCUGAGGUCCUUCGCAAAGAGGCGUAUGGCAAGCCCGUGGACAUCUGGGCAUGUGGGGUGAUCCUGUACAUCCUGCUUGUGGGCUACCCACCCUUCUGGGACGAGGACCAGCACAAGCUGUACCAGCAGAUCAAGGCUGGUGCCUAUGACUUCCCGUCCCCUGAGUGGGACACCGUCACUCCUGAAGCCAAAAACCUCAUCAACCAGAUGCUGACCAUCAACCCUGCCAAGCGCAUCACAGCCCAUGAGGCCCUGAAGCACCCGUGGGUCUGCCAACGCUCCACGGUAGCAUCCAUGAUGCACAGACAGGAGACUGUGGAGUGUCUGAAAAAGUUCAAUGCCAGGAGAAAGCUCAAGGGAGCCAUCCUCACCACCAUGCUGGCCACACGGAAUUUCUCAGUGGGCAGACAGACCACCGCUCCGGCCACAAUGUCCACCGCGGCCUCCGGCACCACCAUGGGGCUGGUGGAACAAGCCAAGAGUUUACUCAACAAGAAAGCAGAUGGAGUCAAGCCCCAGACGAAUAGCACCAAAAACAGUGCAGCCGCCACCAGCCCCAAAGGGACGCUUCCUCCUGCCGCCCUGGAGCCUCAAACCACCGUCAUCCAUAACCCAGUGGACGGGAUUAAGGAGUCUUCUGACAGUGCCAAUACCACCAUAGAGGAUGAAGACGCUAAAGCCCGGAAGCAGGAGAUCAUUAAGACCACGGAGCAGCUCAUCGAGGCCGUCAACAACGGUGACUUUGAGGCCUACGCGAAAAUCUGUGACCCAGGGCUGACCUCGUUUGAGCCUGAAGCACUGGGCAACCUGGUUGAAGGGAUGGACUUCCACAGAUUCUACUUCGAGAACCUGCUGGCCAAGAACAGCAAGCCGAUCCACACGACCAUCCUGAACCCACACGUGCACGUCAUUGGAGAGGAUGCCGCCUGCAUCGCUUACAUCCGGCUCACGCAGUACAUUGACGGGCAGGGCCGGCCCCGCACCAGCCAGUCUGAGGAGACCCGCGUGUGGCACCGCCGCGACGGCAAGUGGCAGAACGUGCACUUCCACUGCUCGGGCGCGCCUGUGGCCCCGCUGCAGUGAAGUGCCGCAUGGCAGACAGCAGAGCCUGGGGGUGGACGGGAGAGGGGGCUGCUGAGGAGCUGACCCACCCGCCCCAUUUCAGAGCUGCGCCCUGGUUUCGCCGGACAGAGUUGGUGUUUGGAGCCCGACUGCCCUCGGGCACACGGCCUGCCUGUCGCAUGUUUGUGUCUGCCUCGUUCCCUCCCCUGGUGCCUGUGUCUGCAGAAAAACAAGACCAGAUGUGAUUUGUUAAAAAAAAAAAAAAAAAAAA